AGAAACGGGAUAGUUUCAGUUACGUUGAGAUAGACCACGGAGUGGCGUUUUUA
rnacentral:tRNA from 1 species